AUACUUACCUGGCGGGGAGACACUACGACCACGAAGGUGGUUUUCCCAGGGUGAGACUUAUUCAUUGCACUAUAUCCCUAGUGCCUAGAGUGGACACUUAAUGCUACUGAGUGCAUGUUGGUAUACUGUAUGGCUC
rnacentral:snRNA from 1 species